rnacentral:rRNA from 1 species
CCAGACUCCUACGGGAGGCAGCAGUGGGGGAUAUUGGACAAUGGGGGAAACCCUGAUCCAGCGACGCCGCGUGAGUGGAGAAGUAUUUCGGUAUGUAAAGCUCUGUCAGCAGGGAAGAAAGAAGUGACGGUACCUGACCAAGAAGCCCCGGCUAACUACGUGCCAGCAGCCGUGGUAAUACGUAGGGGGCAAGCGUUAUCCGGAAUUACUGGGUGUAAAGGGAGCGUAGACGGCGACGCAAGUCUGGAGUGAAAGCCCGGGGCCCAACCCCGGGACUGCUCUGGAAACUGCGUCGCUGGAGUACGGGAGGGGCAGGCGGAAUUCCUGGUGUAGCGGUGAAAUGCGUAGAUAUCAGGAGGAACACCGGCGGCGAAGGCGGCCUGCUGGACCGUGACUGACGUUGAGGCUCGAGAGCGUGGGGAGCAAACAGGAUUAGAUACCCCGGUAA